AAUAUUUGACUCGGGAGCCGUUUUUGGCUGAGAGGAAGCGAAAGCUUCGACCGAUUGAACGUGUGCUAAGUAAUGUUAGCAACGGAUGUCGCUCUUUCCCCGUG
rnacentral:ncRNA from 1 species